UACAGAGGGUGCAAGCGUUGUUCGGAAUUACUGGGCGUAAAGCGCGUGUAGGUGGCGAUGUAAGUCGGGUGUGAAAUCCCUCAGCUUAACUGAGGAAGUGCACUCGAUACUGUGUCGCUUGAGUGUUGGAGGGGAUGGCGGAAUUCCCGGUGUAGAGGUGAAAUUCGUAGAUAUCGGGAGGAACACCUGUGGCGAAAGCGACUUCCUGGACCAGUACCGACGUUCAGGCACGAAAGCGUGGGGAGCAAACAGG
rnacentral:rRNA from 1 species